GUUCCUGUCAAUCAGCAAACAGCUACGCACACAAGUCAGACUCGCAGACACACACAACUCAGGAGGCUUCAAGAUCUGACAGGAAUUUCUUACUCAUCACUGGAAGAAUCUGAUGCCGACUCUUUACCAGACAUAGACAAGCAGCUUAUGGUGGGGAUGACCAGUGAAGAUAUAGAGACACUGAAACAGAUGGCAAACUCUGCCAUACACGACUCACUCCUCAAAAAGAUACAAAAGAUUGACCAGGAAUACUGUAAGUCCAGGACCCACUACAGCUUUGUGGAGGCCCUCAUAAGGAGAGUAAGAAGACUACUGAGGCUCAACACGGGGAGCUGAUAAGUUAUAAAACAGACACAGGGAGCUCUCUAUAGUGAAAUGAUUGUUGUCUAUAAAAUUUGAUAUGACUCUUUAAUGUUAGGUUCUACUGACAGUGGAAGUAUUAAGCUGAUAUCCCAUGAAACUUGAUGUGUUAAUUUCUGAUGAAAUCAUUUUUGACCAUGUAUUAAAGGUGU